rnacentral:lncRNA from 1 species
GCGGCAGUGACCGAGCUGGAGGCAGCACCUGUCUGCCUGGGGUGCUGCUUUUGGCACACGCUUCCUAUGUCCUGGUGGCAGUCAGACAGAUUUGUUGCAAGAAAAAAAGCUGGAAAGAGUUUAAAAGGCUGGAACUGGCACGGUGGGACCCCUGCAUGUUUCUGAAUGCAGGGAGGCCUUCUUAACCCCUUUAGACCUAAAGUACUUCCCUAUGCUAAGAAUGGCAUUUACUUCUGAAAGAGUACUUGUCUGAAUAACAGGGACCCGCGAUCAGGGGAUUUCCCCACGGCAAGGGGCUACACAAUCACUCGCUAAAAGGAACGAGUAAUAGGAUUGAAGCAAUUAAAGCUAGAAUAUCAUAUUUUAACCCAGUAAGUAGGGAAGAAAUAACUUAUUUAGACUGAGGAUCUGCAAAGCAGAAUGUCUUCACAACUUCCCCUGGGCUCCUCCAGGCUUUUUUCUCCUCUGUGGUGCUGAGGUUUCCAGGAUGCUGCUUUGAAUGCCGCCCUCCAACCCCACCGGCAAGAUGUUAAAUUGUGGCCGAAUUCUGCCCCCCAUUUCCCAACAGUGGGAUCCCGGCGUUCAGUGACUGCUGACCCCUUUAACAGCCACACACACACAAAAAAAGUAGAAGUUCAACUCUAUGGAAACCUGCAUAAAGGAAUGUACAGCAAUUUUGCAUUUGGGGGGGUGAGAGGGGGGGAAAUUCAGCCAAACUGAGUUCCUCAUUCACUGAUUAUUACAGCAAGGGGCCGACCCUUUUCAUGCUGAAUGCUUGCCAAAAUCUCAAAACAAGCGGCAGAGGUCGGAGCUGCUCAGCGCCUGCCAGGAGCAGCCCCUGCGUGGCAGUGCCCGGGGAGCGCCAGAUUGAGGGUCGGUUGCCCAGAUGCGUGUUUCAGCCAUGCGGGAGCAGAGCGGGGCUCUGAAGGACCAGGUACAUGUUGGUGGCAGACAGAGCAGUUUUUUGUUCUGCUAUGGCCAUCUCCAUCCAGAGGGAUCUUCUCCCAGGACAGCAUGAGGAGUCCACCUGCAGUGCAGCAGGGCCUGAUGAACUGCAGCACUCGCUGUUUGGUGGCAGGGCUGGAGAUGAGCAGCCCUGGUGUGGUGGCUGCCGGCAUAGCAAUGGGGUGAACGCAGCAGGCCUUCUGUGAGUCGUGAGAUAAACCAUCUC